ACCCGGCGCCUCCACCAUUUUAGCUGUAGGCUUACCCGAAAUUGACAGACGGAUAUCUCCGAUCUGUUGGACAGCUGAAAGACUGGGGGCGAAACAGGAUCGACGCAUGUGGUAAAGGCAGUAUUUUCGCUCGGUAUGGUACCCGCCGUUAUCGGGCCAUGUAGUAGUUGCAAAUGACAACACUGCUCCGGUCGCAAUCGCAGCCUAACGGCAGCGGGAGUAACCGAUCUUAAGCCCAGUCCGAUUGAGCUCGGGUUGGCGGGGUUCGGAACGCACCUGGCAACAGAAGCGUUCCACU
rnacentral:tmRNA from 1 species